UUCUUCCUAGACCGUGGGAACGGAAAUCAAAUGCACACCAGAAUAUUUGAGUUGCCUUGAUGAAACAAAAUGCAGGAGAGGGACCAAAACAGCUUCCGGAAUGCCAAAGUGGAUGCCAGUCUGAUGGACUCAUUGGAUUCAAUGAUAAACACAAAUGUCGAGCUAACUUAUUGGAUUAUAGCCAUCUUCUGGCAAGAUCAUGCCUCU
rnacentral:lncRNA from 1 species